CGAGCGGAACGAGUUAUCUGAACCUUCGGGGAACGAUAACGGCGUCGAGCGGCGGACGGGUGAGUAAUGCCUAGGAAAUUGCCCUGAUGUGGGGGAUAACCAUUGGAAACGAUGGCUAAUACCGCAUAAUGCCUACGGGCCAAAGAGGGGGACCUUCGGGCCUCUCGCGUCAGGAUAUGCCUAGGUGGGAUUAGCUAGUUGGUGAGGUAAGGGCUCACCAAGGCGACGAUCCCUAGCUGGUCUGAGAGGAUGAUCAGCCACACUGGAACUGAGACACGGUCCAGACUCCUACGGGAGGCAGCAGUGGGGAAUAUUGCACAAUGGGCGCAAGCCUGAUGCAGCCAUGCCGCGUGUGUGAAGAAGGCCUUCGGGUUGUAAAGCACUUUCAGUCGUGAGGAAGGUAGUGUAGUUAAUAGCUGCAUUAUUUGACGUUAGCGACAGAAGAAGCACCGGCUAACUCCGUGCCAGCAGCCGCGGUAAUACGGAGGGUGCGAGCGUUAAUCGGAAUUACUGGGCGUAAAGCGCAUGCAGGUGGUUUGUUAAGUCAGAUGUGAAAGCCCGGGGCUCAACCUCGGAAUUGCAUUUGAAACUGGCAGACUAGAGUACUGUAGAGGGGGGUAGAAUUUCAGGUGUAGCGGUGAAAUGCGUAGAGAUCUGAAGGAAUACCGGUGGCGAAGGCGGCCCCCUGGACAGAUACUGACACUCAGAUGCGAAAGCGUGGGGAGCAAACAGGAUUAGAUACCCUGGUAGUCCACGCCGUAAACGAUGUCUACUUGGAGGUUGUGGCCUUGAGCCGUGGCUUUCGGAGCUAACGCGUUAAGUAGACCGCCUGGGGAGUACGGUCGCAAGAUUAAAACUCAAAUGAAUUGACGGGGGCCCGCACAAGCGGUGGAGCAUGUGGUUUAAUUCGAUGCAACGCGAAGAACCUUACCUACUCUUGACAUCCAGAGAACUUUCCAGAGAUGGAUUGGUGCCUUCGGGAACUCUGAGACAGGUGCUGCAUGGCUGUCGUCAGCUCGUGUUGUGAAAUGUGGGGUUAAGUCCCGCAACGAGCGCAACCCUUAUCCUUGUUUGCCAGCGA
rnacentral:rRNA from 1 species